rnacentral:rRNA from 1 species
GAUGAACGCUGGCGGCGUGCCUAAUACAUGCAAGUCGAGCGAACAGACGAGGAGCUUGCUCCUUUGACGUUAGCGGCGGACGGGUGAGUAACACGUGGGUAACCUACCUAUAAGACUGGGAUAACUUCGGGAAACCGGAGCUAAUACCGGAUAAUAUUUCGAACCGCAUGGUUCGAUAGUGAAAGAUGGCUCUGCUAUCACUUAUAGAUGGACCUGCGCCGUAUUAGCUAGUUGGUAAGGUAACGGCUUACCAAGGCAACGAUACGUAGCCGACCUGAGAGGGUGAUCGGCCACACUGGAACUGAGACACGGUCCAGACUCCUACGGGAGGCAGCAGUAGGGAAGCUUCCGCAAUGGGCGAAAGCCUGACGGAGCAACGCCGCGUGAGUGAUGAAGGUCUUCGGAUCGUAAAACUCUGUUAUUAGGGAAGAACAAACGUGUAAGUAACUGUGCACGUCUUGACGGUACCUAAUCAGAAAGCCACGGCUAACUACGUG